GCUCCGGUGGCCUAGUGGUUAGAGCGUUUGCCUCAGAUUCUGGAGGUCGUGGGUUCGAUCCCCGUUCGAGUCA